rnacentral:ncRNA from 2 species
UAUGUAAAAAUUAUUUUAGAUGCUCGUAAUGAGCUUAAUGGGGAACCCUGUGUAAUUCAGGGACGGGCCCGCCGCUGUAACUAGGGACGAACGCUGCAUAAAGUCACUGCCAAAUUUUGGUGGGAAGACGCAGUCAGUAGGAUGAUCUAGAAGUCAGAAGACCUGUCUGAAGUAUCGCGAUACG